rnacentral:rRNA from 1 species
AUUGAACGCUGGCGGCAGGCCUAACACAUGCAAGUCGAACGAGUGGCGGACGGGUGAGUAAUGUCUGGGAAACUGACCGAUGGAGGGGGAUAACUACUGGAAACGGUAGCUAAUACCGCAUACCAUCGGAUGUGCCCAGAUGGGAUUAGCUAGUAGGUGGGGUAACGGCUCACCUAGGCGACGAUCCCUAGCGGGUCUGAGAGGAUGACCAGCCACAUUGGUAGUGAACCACGGUCCAGAUUCCAACGGGGGGCAGCAGUGGGGAAUAUUGCACAAUGGGCGAAAGCCUGAUGCAGCCAUGCCGCGUGUAUGAAGAAGGCCUUCGGGUUGUAAAGUACUUUCAGCGAGGAGGCGUUACUCGAAGAAGAAGCACCGGCUAACUCCGUGCCAGCAGCCGCGGUAAUAC